rnacentral:rRNA from 1 species
AUUGAACGCUGGCGGCAGGCCUAACACAUGCAAGUCGAGCGGAUGAAGGGAGCUUGCUCCUGGAUUCAGCGGCGGACGGGUGAGUAAUGCCUAGGAAUCUGCCUGGUAGUGGGGGAUAACGUCCGGAAACGGGCGCUAAUACCGCAUACGUCCUGAGGGAGAAAGUGGGGGAUCUUCGGACCUCACGCUAUCAGAUGAGCCUAGGUCGGAUUAGCUAGUUGGUGGGGUAAAGGCCUACCAAGGCGACGAUCCGUAACUGGUCUGAGAGGAUGAUCAGUCACACUGGAACUGAGACACGGUCCAGACUCCUACGGGAGGCAGCAGUGGGGAAUAUUGGACAAUGGGCGAAAGCCUGAUCCAGCCAUGCCGCGUGUGUGAAGAAGGUCUUCGGAUUGUAAAGCACUUUAAGUUGGGAGGAAGGGCAGUAAGUUAAGACCUUGCUGUUUUGACGUGACCAACAGAAGAAGCACCGGCUAACUUCGU